GAGAACGUUCGGAGAGGUUCCUGGUUUGCCUCCGUAUAAAGUUACAGAUCGCUCCAGGCAUCCUCACUCCCACCACCUCAUAAGCUGGCCGUGUGAAGACAAGGAGGACACCAUGUGAUGACAGAAGAUUGGACUGAUACACCCAUAAGCCAGGGAAAAGCAGAGUGAUCCAAAGCUGGGAGAAGGAUGGAACAGAUCCUCCUUUAGAGCUCUCAGAAGGAACCAACCCUGCUGACACCUUGAUUUUGGACUUCAAGCUUCAGAACUUUAAUAAAAUAAAAUACGUUGGAACAGGAAGUAAUGAGGAGUUCUCUGAAGAACCUUGAAAAAAUGUUUCCCUCAUCAAAAUUCAAACUUCGCCUCGCAUAUUAUUUCUUCCACCCCCAACCCCACUAAAAGUUCAGAACCCUUCUUAAAGAAAAAAAAGUCUUCAUCACUAGAAACACACUUGCACAUGCGUGCGCAUGCACACAUGCACAUCUACUUUUUUUUUUUUUUAUGCACAUCUACUUUUAAUUAGGUCCCUCCAAGCUUUGGUUCUAUGCUCUGUGAGAAUAAAGUUGCUGUUUUUG